UAACGAAUCUUCCGCAAUGGGCGAAAGCCUGACGGAGCAAUGCCGCGUGUGGGAUGAAGCGCCUUCGGCGUGUAAACCACUGUCAGGGAAUGGAACCAAUGAUUAUUCCCAAAGGAAGUGGCGACUAACUCUGUGCCAGCAGUCGCGGUAAUACAGAGGCCACAAGCGUUAGUCGGAAUCACUGGGCUUAAAGGGUGCGUAGGCGGGCCCGCAAGCGUCUUGUGAAAUCCCAUGGCUCAACCAUGGAAUUGCAGGGCGAACUGCGGGUCUUGAGGCAGGUAGGGGCCGGAAGAACAGUAGGUGGAGCGGUGAAAUGCGUAGAUAUCUACUGGAAUGCCGAUGGGGAAGCCGUCCGGCUGGGCCUGUCCUGACGCUGAGGCACGAAAGCGUGGGGAGCAAACAGGAUUAGAUACCCUAGUAGUCCCUGAGCGGGCUGGCAAGGCGCAU
rnacentral:rRNA from 1 species